ACUCUCAGAAUGACUCUCGUCAUUCUCAAGUGGGUGGAGUAAAACGAGAGUGGGUGGAGCCUCGCAAACGCCUAAAUGACUAGACCGACUGAAUGCUGUUUGCGCCUCGACUCAAUGCAGGCUCAGAUGGACAGACUACCGUGUGCUUGCUAUCGGCUUGUGCUCAGAGGAAGAGGGCGGGCUUUACUUGGUGUGAGAGUGAAAAACAGCUCAAAUGAGUGAGAAGGACGAUGAAGGAAACAUCUGUGCUGUGUCUGCUCUACGGUGGUGGAUCUGCAGGAAGAACUGAGGACGUCCGUCAUGGACAAAUCAUCAUCAGAGAGAAGAGAAAGAGUCCGACCUGAGAGAUUUGCCUGGAUUGCUGGCCGUGUAUUACCAGAAGGAGCAUUUUCCAUGGAAAUGGACUACGCUGUCACCUCUGAAGAUCAGAGCUAAGAGCUUGGAACGGGUGGACUCUUUUUACAUCUUUAAUAUAUUCUGCAGGCUUAUUGGGCAGUGACGUAAAAAGACAGUAAUUGAAGGACUGUUGAAACCUUUAUGUAUAGGUUUAUAGGAAAACCUUUUAUUUACAGGUUUUCAGCUGAGUGUAUAGGUGGUGGUCGUGGUCGGUGUGUUUAAGUUCUAGUCGUACUUGUCUUCUUUCUUAUCUGCGCCUCAUCACUACGGUGUUGGUCUACAAUAAAAAAGCACAGAAAGAUCUAUAUCAAAAUUCUAUAAACUCAUCUAAGUUGUAUAAUUUUCAUGUUAGCAAUUAUAAAUGAUACUGUUGCUCACCUGCUGCUUCCUGGUUCCGAUAUUGUGAAAUAUCGGGGAAAAUGAUGCCCUGGGGCCCACAAACAGUUUACUGGUUUCUUAGAGGAGGAGGAGGAGGAGGUAAGGUAUGAGUAGAAAGUGUGGGAAUUUCAUUUAUCUUUAUAGGAUUAUUGUUGGUUAUUGUUUUUAAUGUGUGGAUGUUGGAAAUGUUUGAGCAUAUUACAGGUAUUUUAUAGAUAUUUGUUAUGUAGUAUUUUGUUUAAUCCUGAGUGUAAACUGCAGAAUGCUUUAAUCCAAUUAACGAAUCCCAGAGACUAUCAGUGUAUUCGGAUUUGUACACUACAGAGACAAGAACAUGGGAAUCCACGUAUUCUUCAUCAGUCUCAUUCCAAAUGUCGCCAUCAACUUCUUUUCUUUCAAGAUUUGUCACAGCAAUGAUGUCGUUCUUGACAAUGGCAUAAAAAGACACUUAUUCUUGUCACAGCAAACCUGGUGAGCCCAGGUUAAUGCCCUGCCAUGUGAGCCAGGAGGUGCUGCACUUUUGGAUUUGUAUAUUUCAGCAGAAGCAGCUUCAGCACCUGUGACCUCCUCAUCAGAUGUGUCUGUGUUGAUGCUCUCUAUCAUCCUCCUCGUCAGAAACUGGCUCAUUCAUAUUGCAAUGCUGUUUUCUGUAUUUUCCUUCAGCAAACAUAUGAUCCACAGCUUGGCUUAUUGUAAAUCUUCACAUAUUUGCGUUCUGCAGAUCUGCAACUCACCAAGUAAACUGAGUUGUUCUGCACAUGCCGUACAUGACUAUGUUGAUCUGUACUUGUAAGUUCGAGUCACUGUCCCAGAAAGUAAGAACUUUCUGUUGGAAAAUAUCAACUUUUUCACUUCUCCUAGGUUUUAAUUCAAAUAAAAACCUGUUAAAAAUAUAUAUAUUGUUUUUGAAUCAACAGAAAGGUGCUCCGAGUAGGUGCUCAGAGGAAGAGGGCGGGCUUUACUUGGUGUCAGAGACAGAAAUGAAAAAAGCUCAAAUGAGUGAGAAGGACGAUGAAGGAAACAUCUGUGCUGUGUCUGCUCUGUGGUCCAAUGUUUCUGGAUUACUCACAGCCUCCUCUGUCUGCAUAAAAACAAUGCUGGAACAUUGGUGUACCAUGGCCUCGUGAGCAUCAGGGGAACAGCAUUGUCCUUGUUGCUACAGAAAAUGGAUCUGUGUACGCCAUCGAGUAGGCGAAAGAAUGGUUACACAGCAUUCUGCAGCGCCAUGCUGUACCCUCUGGUAAGCUUGAAAACAUGGAGUGGUCAGCACGGUCUCCAGACUUAAAUCCCAUCAAGCUGGUUUGGGAUCAACUGGACCGAAGAGUGAAAGCAAAGCAACCUACAAGUGUCAAACAUUGUAGAAAGAACACCAUGGCUGUGUUCAGCUGUUAUAUCUGCCAAAGGUGGCUACUUUGAUGAGAAGUUGAGAAUACAUUUUGGUCUUUAAAUUGAUUCUAUGAACUCCAAUUGCCUAUUUGUACUAUGCUUUCAUUUCAGAGUACAAUGAGACAUUAAACUGGAUAAUUUCCAAUAAGCUCUGAUGAAGCUGGAUUGACUGAAGUUAUUGAUUGUGCCAUGUUUCCAUAUGUUCAGUAACUUUACUGUUAUUUGUAUUUUGUUUCUAAGUGUGCUGUCGUCUCCACAGCAGUGAUCUGGUUUCUCUGCAGUUUCAAUAAACUUUGGUCUCACUUGA